rnacentral:rRNA from 1 species
ACGAACGCUGGCGGCGUGCUUCACACCUGCAAGUCGAACGGAAAGGCCCUGCUUUUGUGGGGUGCUCGAGUGGCGAACGGGUGAGUAACACGUGAGUAACCUGCCCUUGACUUUGGGAUAACUUCAGGAAACUGGGGCUCAUACCGGAUAGGAGCUCCUGCUGCAUGGUGGGGGUUGGAAAGUUUCGGCGGUUGGGGAUGGACUCGCGGCUUAUCAGCUUGUUGGUGGGGUAGUGGCUUACCAAGGCUUUGACGGGUAGCCGGCCUGAGAGGGUGACCGGCAACAUUGGGACUGAGAUACGGCACAGACUCCUACGGGAGGCAGCAGUGGGGAAUAUUGCACAAUGGGCGGAAGCCUGAUGCAGCAACGCCGCGUGCGGGAUGACGGCCUUCGGGUUGUAAACCGCUUUCGCCUGUGACGAAGCGUGAGUGACGGUAAUGGGUAAAGAAGCACCGGCUAACUACGUG